GACGAACGCUGGCGGCGUGCUUAACACAUGCAAGUCGAACGGAAAGGCCCUGCUUGCAGGGUACUCGAGUGGCGAACGGGUGAGUAACACGUGGGUGAUCUGCCCUGCACUUCGGGAUAAGCCUGGUAAACUGGGUCUAAUACCGGAUAGGAGCCAUUUUUAGUGUGAUGGUUGGAAAGUUUUUUCGGUGUAGGAUGAGCUCGCGGCCUAUCAGCUUGUUGGUGGGGUAAUGGCCUACCAAGGCGGCGACGGGUAGCCGGCCUGAGAGGGUGGACGGCCACAUUGGGACUGAGAUACGGCCCAGACUCCUACGGGAGGCAGCAGGGGGGAAUAUUGCACAAUGGGCGCAAGCCUGAUGCAGCGACGCCGCGUGGGGGAUGACGGCCUUCGGGUUGUAAACUCCUUUCGCUAGGGACGAAGCUUUUUGUGACGGUACCUAGAUAAGAAGCACCGGCUAACUACGUG
rnacentral:rRNA from 1 species